UCCCGAAGAAGGGCGCGGUUCUCCGCGACAAGAGAGGAGAUUCGCAACUCUGACGCCACGUGCGUUGCGACGAGUUUGUUUAUCAAAUCUUCAAAAGUGAA
rnacentral:rRNA from 11 species